ACAUGCCUACAACAUAACUUUAAUGCAUCGGAUCCCAUUAUAACUCUACAGUUAAGCAUACUCAGGCUAGAGUAGUACUGGGAUGGGUGACCACCCAAGAAGUACUAGUAUUUUACAUGCC
rnacentral:rRNA from 1 species